rnacentral:rRNA from 1 species
GACGAACCGUCCUAACGUUGUUCGGAAUCACUGGGCUUAAAGGGCGCGUAGGCGGCUUGCCAAGUCAGGGGUGAAAUCCUGCAGCUUAACUGUAGAAGGGCCUUUGAUACUGGCGAGCUCGAGGGAGGUAGGGGUAUGUGGAACUUCCGGUGGAGCGGUGAAAUGCGUUGAUAUCGGAAGGAACGCCGGUGGCGAAAGCGACGUACUGGACCUCUUCUGACGCUGAGGCGCGAAAGCUAGGGAGCAACAGGG